GGGGAUGGGACCUUAGCUCAGUAGAAGAGCAUCUGCUUUGUAAGCAGAAGGUCCCAGGUUCAAUCCUUGGCAUCUCCA